rnacentral:lncRNA from 1 species
UUGUGUCUUCAGAGGCAAGACAGUGACAUUUGAGAUUAAAGGUACUUUAAGUGACUGUGGCCGUAUGUUGGAGGUAUUUAGUUUGGAAUUAAGCAAACUUUUUGCCCCACCCUCCCCUCCAUUUUUUAUCCUGUAUGUUCCAUUUAAACUAAAUGUGACAUAGGCCACAUGUGAGAAAACACACAACCACAGCAAACUGUGAAAAGCUGCACUCUGCUUUUUUAUAUGCUGUCAUUUUCACCAUAAUACCAACUACAUACGCCGUUAAUAGUUAAGACUUCUCACAGCUGAGAUUAAAACAUCUUUGAUGAUUAUGUCAAAGCAUUUCAUCUUUUUGCAGCACGGCUUUGGAACAGUUACGAUGAACAUCAGAUAAAAAAAGAAAGAAAAAAGUAGAGGGGGGACAGGAGAAAUUCGUGUAAUAUCACUUCAUUCUGCUUCAGCUGUUAAUUAGCCAGCUUAGACAUUUUAGCCUUUUCUGACAGCCCCCUCUCUCCUGUCACACUUUGAGCUAAACUAUAAUGCAUAUCAUUACAUUUCCCCAUAGAAAGGACACCACUAAGUGCUACUGAAUUGUUACUUGUGACUAUGAUGCUUCUAUGGAGGAUCUGCAACGCAAUGGUUGUUUACACAGCAGGUGGAUGUGACGUCACGGACAAACAAAAACAUCCAAAUCCGCGAUUCCUCCUUUUUCCUCCUUGCUUUUCGAUGUGUUAAAAAUCUAACAACAACAUUAAGAAAGGAGCUUGUUCCUCUCCCAGCGAGACAGACCGGGAGGCAGCGCGCGUGAAAGUCCACAUUUUUUUUAUUCGACGUCCUCGGUAAGAUUAUCUCUUUCUCCUUGUAGUUAACUUAGUUAGUUAGUCCCCCCACCACCGCCGCCUCCUCUACCACCUCGCCACCAACACCGAGCGGCGGAGUAAUAUUGUUUACGGUGUUGUCUACACGCGUACUCCGUACACAAUAUCGCGUGCACGGGUUCGUUAUCUCAUACCAGCAAAUCGGUGCCCUCCGCGUGCGCCUGUUAGCUGCCGUAGAGCGUUUUUCCAUCCUGCCAUCAGUCUCCAUUUAUAUCAUGACCAGCGAGAUGUAACUGAAAGUGUUGCUGAUCGACUCUUGUGGGGAAAAAAAAGUUAG